UACGAGGGGGGGCAAGCGUUGUUCGGAAUUAUUGGGCGUAAAGGGCGCGUAGGCGGUUUGACAAGUCUGAUGUGAAAUCUAUGGGCUCAACCCAUAGCCUGCAUUAGAAACUGUCGGGCUUGAGUAUGGGAGAGGUGAGUGGAAUUUCCGGUGUAGCGGUGAAAUGCGUAGAUAUCGGAAGGAACACCUGUGGCGAAAGCGGCUCACUGGACCAUAACUGACGCUGAGGCGCGAAAGCUAGGGGAGCAAACAGG
rnacentral:rRNA from 1 species